GAACAGGUGUAUUUGACCACACACUGGGGGAAGUGGGGGAAGUAAAGACCUGAGCUUUGAGGAAGUCAAGCUGGAGGCCCUCAGAGGUGGUUAUUUAUAUCAGAGUGAUGUGUAUUGAAAGCCAAAGACUUUCAUUCCCCCACCAUCACGGAACUGAUUUAGAGAAGAGGAAGGGCGUGUAUUUCGCCUUCUUAAAUAUCUGCUGCAAGAACUUCUGGUGUGGGUCAGACUGCUCAUGAUCCAUGCACAGGCUUUAUGGUAGAUGAAAGGGCGUGUCAUCAAUCUUGUUUCAACUACUUUGUACAUAAAAUGGCUAACUUUUCAUUGGUUGACAGACUGUGUGACUUCAUUCUUAUUUCCUUUCGCAAGAUGCUCCCUAUAUACCCCCCAUGUGAGCAGCCUGUUGUGCAUGUUUGGGGUGGGGGAGGAAGGACCUUACAUUGUCUAAGCUCAAAAUAAGAAAAUCAGACUCUAACAACAACCCAAAACAAUGCAUUAGAAACUCUUGUGGUGCCACUAACAUAAAUGAAGUCUCACAUAAUUAGCUUUCAUUUUAUAUCUCUUGCAUUGUAAAAUCCCUCCCUGCCCACACCCCACCCCCAUUCAGGCUCUUUUGGUUAUGAGAAAUGAGUGUGUUUUAGGACCAACAUGUCAGAAUUAUGAGGAAGAAACUUGGCAGUGGAACAAACUAUGUGAUACGCUUGACAAGAACUGAGAAACGACCCAUUUCAGGUUUUCUGAGGCAGCCUUUCAUUUUUGGUUCAGCAAUAUAGCCCAGAAGCCACAGAAUGGGAAGCACCGUUGCCAGCACCAUGAGGGUCAUAAAGAGGCCCAGUCACAUUGGGAUGGAAGUCCUCAUCCUCAGGCUCAGAGUGGUGAAUGGGAGGCGUGCCUUGCUCAGCCCCAGAGUGGAGACAAAUGGGUGUGGAAUUCACCAUAAUUUAUGGCAAGAAAUGGCCCUUACCCAUGGGAUUGAGAAUAUUAAUGCCAGGAAGAGGUCAGACAUUGAUAUUGAAGAGCAGACCUGUGUUGGAAUGAAUGCAGUUCUAGGGCGAGACUGGUGAAUGAAGAAGAAGGGUAAGUAUGAAUGAGGGCUGACUAGAGCAUGACAGAGAAGAAGGUCAAAAGUACCACAUGUUAAGCUGAAGCCAAGGUUUUUGGUUUUUUUUUUCUCUUUUUUUGGCCAUCCCCAUGGCAUAUGGAAUUCCUGGGCCAGGGACCAGAUCUCAGCCAGAGCUGCUGGACCCUUAACCCACUUAACUCAUUGUGCCAGGCCAGGGAUUGAAACUUAGUGCUAGGGCUCCAGAGACACUUCUGAUCCUGCUGCACCAUAGCAGGAACUCCUGAAGCCAAGAGUCUAAUGAAAGAUUAAGGUGUUCUAAUAAAAGACAGCAAGUGCUCAGCAAAUGCUUCUCAACUGGAUAAAUCAGAAGAUGCUGGUCAGGGGAUUCUUGGCGGGUGAAGGUGCAGAGGCGACCAGCUUGGGAUGUUAAGGGUCUGCAGAGAGUGUAAUUGUGGCUUGAACUGGGGGCAUCCUUGGAAGAGUAGGUACCAAGCAACAGGAACAGAACACCGAAGCUGGGCUUGGUUAAGUGGGAGGGGGCAGAAACUGCUAAUGGCUUACCAGUAUCUACUCUCCCCAUUGUAACACAACCCAGAUUUUAAACUAGAUGACAAGGUGCCCAGUUGAAAGACAACAUUAGUCAGUCAUAUUUGCAGCUGGGAUGGCCACUAAGGUAUAAACAGAAGUUGGAACUAUAUUCAAUAUCCUGCGAUAAACCAUAAUGGAGAAGAAUAUGAAAACGAAUAUAUAUGGUAUACAUAUGCAUAACUGAAUCACUUUACUGUAGAGCAGAAAUUAACAUAGCAUUGUAAAUCAACUACAUCUCAAUAAAUUUUUUUUAAAAAAGAGUUAUAAGUGGAGGUUGUUGCACGGGGGGUGGGGGGCGCUCUUCUGUGAAGAGGUGAUAGAAUACUAACAUACUUGUAUUUUUCCCUUCUCCCUUCUUCCUGUGCCUUCCUAGAAACAAAAGAUCAAUGUGAUGGUUAGAUCUUCAGCUAUUGAGUCAUGAAGUGAAUUUGAAAAUGGAAGCCAUAUGCUAAGGACAGCAGAACAAAAAGAUAGAGGAAACCUGGAACAUUGAUGACUCUGUAGCUCCCAUACCACUCAGAAUUCAGCCUUCCUUUGUAUGAGAAAUAAGAUAUUAUCUUAUUGAAGCUACUAUUAUUUCCUCCUUCACCUGGGACAUCACAAGCCUAGGGAUCUUUGGAAGGUUUCAAACAAAGAGUGAAGAAUUAGGGAUUUUAUUUGUUUAGUUUUUGGUUGUUUAUUUUUUAAGUUAAAAAGGCUGUAAAAUAAAAGUGUUUUAAUUUGAAAAAAUAGUCUCUGAGCUCUAUCAUAAAAGGAAUCAAGGGGUUAUAUAUUGUUGUAUUAUGUAUUUAUUUGGCUUAAACAAAAAGAGGGUUUUAUUUGCUUAUGUAAUUGAGAAAUCCAGAAGUUGGGUGGGCUUAGGUAAGGCCAUCUCUAGUAGCUGGAUAAGCCAACCAAGAUUCAGUGUCUUUCCAUUUCUUCUGAGUCUCCC
rnacentral:lncRNA from 1 species